rnacentral:lncRNA from 1 species
CAUUAUUUUGUUUUCUAACAUUAAAAUGAGGGAUACACACUCAUGAACAACACUUCAACAAAAUUACCCACACACCAAAAGACAAAUUUAACCCAACAAGAGCAGAAAGAAAAGCAAAGCUAGAUAAUACAAAAUGGGAAACAACAUGAAAUGAAGAAAAGAUGAAAACUUUAACUUUUGAGGACGGGAAUCGGAAAUGGGGUUUGGUGGGAAGGGUUGGGAAUGGUUGGACGGCGAGGGGGGAGGGGUCGCGGCCGUAGAGGAGCUAGAGGUGGUGGUGAGGUAGAGGCCGACGUGGAGGCAGAGGCGGAGAGGAUGAGGGUAGCGGUGAGGACGAAGGUGGUGAUGACGGAGACGAUGGAGGUGACGACGGGGUCAGGGAAGUGGUGGUGGUGGAGGAGGGUACAACGGUGGUGACGGGAGGUCAGGGAGGUGGUGGAGGUGGUUACGAGGGCCACUAAGGUAGAGGUGAUGGUGGUCAGGGUGGGAGUACCGGAGGUGGUGAUCGUGGUCAUCCUGGAGGAGGAUAGAGGUGAGGCAGGUGGCCAGAGCCAUGUAUAUGGUUGCGGUGGUGUGUGUGGAGGAGCUGAGGCAGGCGGGAAUGUGCCCGAGGAUUUGGUGACUAUUUCAUCCGUUUCUAAGAAUGACGAGGCAAUGCACGAGAGUCAGAUGUAUAUCAGCCCAAGUCAGAUACGGUCGAACUUACUUGGUAAUGAGAGCCUUAGCGCGGAGUUUGUGGGUCUCAUUUUUUUUACGAGAUCAGUAUCAUCAUGCAGGAAGAUGAGUUGGCCAAAUGCAUAUUUUCUGUAGCUGGAUUACAAGCACACUUUGAUGUGGAUCUAAACGAGCCCUGUGGACAAUAUAUUUGUGUUGGGUGGGACACCCCUCAGCAUUCGCGUAUCUACUACAUCACACCCGGUCCAUCCACAUCACUGAAACACAUACCGGAGGAAGUGGAGUAGGCCGGAGACAGAGAAGGUGACGAAAACGUAGUCCCUCCGACUUAGAGAGUACGACAAAUCAGGCGUCGUCGACGCUGCUUCACCGGAUCGUAUUUCUUCUGAAUUUUGAGAAAUGCAUAUUUCAUUUUAUGUUAUGUACGUCAGUUUUAGUUAUGUAAUCCUUGUUGUUAUGUAUUCCAUAUAGUUAUGUAUUUUUUUUUGUUAUGUAUUUCAUGUAGUGAUGUUAUGUUUGUCAUAUUGUGCUAUGUGACUGUUUUUGUUAUGUUUUGUAUUUAGACUGUUUUUAUUGAUAUUCUGUAUUCUACAAUAUACGAUGAAUCUAUCUUAUAACACGAGUCCAUAAGUCGUGAAUAAAAACAUCAAAAUAAACCACACAAGUGACACUAAUAUUAAAAUAAAUCAUCACUGUUACACUAACAUCAACAUAAAAAAAUACAAGGCACACUAACUUUAAAUUAAACCACACAAAGGACACUAAUGGAGGAGGAUAGAGGUGAGGCAGGUGGCCAGAGCCAUGUAUAUGGUUGCGGUGGUGUGUGUGGAAGAGCCAUCUGUACAUGUAUAUCCUUACGGUAGAAUUCACCAACUUUUAAUUAGUACUAGCCUAAUUGCCCGUGCCAAGCACGAAAAUGUUGAAUCAUAAUAAUUAUUAUAUAACAUUAUUUAUUAAGGGUAUUAUAUACAAUACAAAAAUAUUGUUUUACAUAUUAAGGGUAUUACAGAUUUCAUGAUUUUUUAAGCAAAUAUGACGAAAUUUUAAUCAAAUUUAUAAGAGAUAAUAUUCAAUUUGGUCCCUGAACUUAUAUGUAAGUCUCAAUUUAGUUCUUGAAGUUUCAAUUGUCUCUAUUUAGUCCCCAAACUUUGCGAACAUAACUCAUAUUAGUUUCUGAAACAAUUUUCAACGUACAAAUGUUAACGGAACACUGUCGUGACAGCCGAAUGCCACAGUAAACUUUGUAAAAUGAUGUCGUUUUGGUUUUGGCACUCAAAUAACCCAAAAACAACAUCCUAAAUGGUGUUUAUUAAAAUUUUACCUAACAAAAUAAGUAAUAGGAUGCUGUUUUUGAGCUAUUUAAAUAUCAAAACCAAAACUGCAUUAUUUUACAAGUUUUAACGUGACAUGUGAUAGUCUACAACAGCGCUCUAUUAACGUUUUUAUGCUAAAAGUGGUCUCAGGGACUAAUAUGAGGCACGUUUAUAAACUUCGGGGAUUAAAUAGAGACAAUUGAAACCUCAGGGACUAAAUUGAGACUCACGUGUAAGUUCAGGGACCAAAUUGGAUAUUAUCUCUGUUACGGCCCGGCUCAAACCUUCUGCUGGCUUGGGCCGACCCGGGCGGUCAGGGAUAGAGCGCCCCGUCGCCGACCCGGACACGCGUCCGUAACAGCUCUCCCACAGUUGUGAAGGGAGUGCCUCGAGAGUAGUGGGCCUGCCCUUACAGGGCCCACCUCUGACAAUAUAUAAGGAGAAGAUUGGCUCUUCCCCCAAGGUACGUUAUAUAUCACAUUACCCUUUCUGCCUGCACAUUUACUGACAAGAGCGUUGGAGUGUCUUUGCAGGUGGCACCCCAGGAUCUUCACCCGAAUCGACCGGUAACCGAUUUACCGAACAUUGGCGCCAUCUGUGGGGACUCAUCCAUGGACUUCGUGCUAGUCGAAACGGAGGCAGGCCGCGAGGCCGUACCCGGAGGCGACGCCGCCGGGACGAAAACCCGACAACAUCCAAGAUCACCCCCGAGGGACGCAGCCCAAUCACAUGAGAGACGCCCCUUUGGGGGGACCGGAGACAACCACGCCAGAAUAAUGCAAGAGCUACGCCAUAGAAUGCAAGACUUAGAGCGCCGGUUAGCGGACAGAGAACGCAACCAGCGCACCCCAGAACAGAGUCACUCCCGAUCUCGCUCCAGGAGCCGUUCCCGGCGCACGCCUAGCCCCCAGGUCGAGUCAGAAAGCACCGGAAAGAGAGGGCGCGCGAGAAGACAUCACAACCCUGUCAUUUAUGCCAGACGUGAAAGGCGGCGUACGACGAACCAGGGGGACGAAGACGCCCGUCGGGAGAACGACGAUGGGAGAACGAAUACCCGGGGACCCGUGAUAAUAGGGGCCACCCCAUUCCACCGCUCCAUACUCGAGGUCCGGCUGCCAAAACAUUUUGACAAGCCAACGGACAUGAGGUAUAAUGGAACGCAGGACCCCCUGGAGCAUCUAACGGCCUUCGAGGCCAGGAUGAACCUAGAAGGAGUAGGAGAUGAGGUAAGGUGUCGCGCCUUCCCGGUCACCCUGGCGGGACCUGCAAUACGGUGGUUCAAUAACCUCCCGCAGGGCUCGGUGACCCAAUUCUCCGACAUCAGCCAUGCUUUCCUGGCUCAGUUCACAACCAGGAUCGCGAAAGCCAAGCACCCGAUCAAUUUGCUAGGGGUGACCCAAAGAGCCGGGGAGCCGACCAGGAAAUACUUGGAUCGUUUCAACGACGAGUGCCUAGAAAUUGACGGUUUGACAGACUCGGUGGCGAGUUUAUGUUUGACGAAUGGGCUCCUGAAUGAGGACUUCAGGAAGCACCUUACCACAAAGCCAGUCUGGACAAUGCAGGAGAUCCAGUGCGUGGCUAGGGAGUAUAUCAACGACGAGAAGGUCAGCCAGGUCGUGGCUGCCAAUAAACGGCAACCCCUCUACAACCAAACCAAGCACCACGAUGGUGGAGAACGACAAAAGGAACACACUAGGAACGGCGGCUCGAGCAAGACGACAAAACCGUUUUCCCGAGUCGGGAAAUUCACCAACUACACCCCCUCGCGGCACCAAUCACGGAGGUCUAUCAAUAGAUAGCCGAGAAAGGGAUACUAUCGAGGCCCCGUCCUCUGAAGGACAGGACAGGGGGAAACAAAAGCCUCUACUGCGAAUAUCACAAGGGGUACGGGCACAAGACCCAAGACUGCUUCGACCUAAAGGAUGCCCUGGAACAGGCAAUCAGGGACGGGAAGCUUGCCGACUUCUCCCACCACAUAAGGGAACCGAAGAGACGGAACCGGGAUCGCGAGGGUGAGAACAGGUCCAGGUCGACAAGACGACGUCAAGAACCAGAGGAAGACGACCACGGUCUCACGGUAGUAAAUGUAGUAACUGCAAGGAAUUCUGCCCCGAGGUCGAAAUCGGCGCAGAAGAAAGACGCCAAGGUCCUGGCGGUCUCCUCCUCAUCUGCUAGGAGCUCUCGGGGACACCCAUCCAUCUCUUUUGGCCCCGAGGAUCAAUGGUUCGAUGAGGUACCGGAAAGUCCACCCAUGGUUAUCACGGCCAGAGUCGGAACCGAAGUGGUCAAACGAAUCCUAGUGGACACGGGGGCGGACUCGAACAUCAUGUUUCGCAACGUCUUCGACGCCUUGGGACUAUGUGAUGCCGACCUGGCGGCCCACCAGCACGGUGUGGUAGGGUUGGGUGAUCACUUCAUCAAACCAGAUGGGAUCAUCUCACUACCGACCUCCCUUGGACAAGGACAGAGGCGAAGAACGGUAAUGGCCGAUUUUGUUGUCUUACGAGAUUCCACUGCUUAUAAUAUCAUCCUGGGGAGAAAAACCAUCAAUGACCUCGGAGUAGCAAUUAGCACGAAACUGCUCAUAAUGAAGUUUGUUACCGAUGACGGAUCCGUAGGGUCCAUCAGAGGAGACUUGGAAACGGCAGUCCCUUGCGACCACGCCAGUCUCUCUCUUAGGAAAAAAUCCAAAGAAGCAUCUGGGGUUUUCCUUGCCGACCUGGAUGCCAGGAUAGACGACAAGCCCAGACCUGAGCCAGAAGGGGACUUGGAAAAAUUUAGGGUUGGUGACGAGGACGAGAAGUUCACGUUCAUAAACAGAAACCUCCCCAAUGAAUUAAAAGAACUUUUGAUGAAGAUGAUCAGAGCUAACGCCGACCUCUUCGCCUGGACACCAGCCGAUAUGCCAGGGAUAGACCCCCAGCUUAUGUCACACCAUCUGGCCGUCAAGCCAGAGGCCAAGCCAGUAGCUCAGAGGAGGAGGAAGAUGUCACAAGAAAGGGCAGAAGAGGUGGCCAGGCAGACGGCCAGCCUCCUUGAAGCAGGGUUCAUCCGAGAGCUGGACUACUCGACUUAGCUGUCUAACGUGGUGUUGGUGAAAAAACACAGGGGGAGGUGGAGAAUGUGCGUGGACUACUCCGACUUCAACAAGGCAUGCCCUAAGGAUUGCUACCCCCUGCCCAACAUUGACGCACUCGUCGACGCAGCAGCAGGAUACCAAUACCUGAGCUUCAUGGACGCCUACUCUGGGUACAAUUAGAUACCGAUGCACCGACCCGACGAGGACAAAACGGCGUUCAUAACGCCAGGAGGGAUCUAUUGUUACAAGGUGAUGCCGUUCGGUCUAAAAAACGCUGGCGCCACGUAUCAAAGACUGAUGAACAAGAUAUUCAAUGAGCUCAUAGGCAAAAACUGCACGACCCGACGACCUCUUAAGAGACCUAGGGGAUGUGUUUGCCUCCCUCCGACAGCACGGCAUGAGGCUCAACCCGCUCAAGUCGCCUUUGCCAUGGAGGCCGGAAAGUUCUUGGGGUUCAUGAUCACCCAAAGAGGGGUAGAGGCCAACCCUGAGAAGUGCCAAGCGAUUCUCCAGAUGAAGAGUCCGGGUUGCAUCAAAGACGUCCAGCGGCUGGCGGGAAGGCUGACGGCGUUAUCCCGUUUCCUCGGCGCAUUGGCAGCGAAAGCCCUGCCCUUCUUCAAUUUAAUGAAAAAGGGAAUAGCAUUUGAAUGGACCCCAGCCUGCGAGGAAGCAUUCAACCACUUCAAGGAAAUCCUAGCAACACCUCCGGUGCUCGGGAAGCCCAAAGCCGGAGAGCCACUCUACCUCUACCUAGCGGUAACAGAGGAAGCACUUGCAGCAGUGCUCGUAAAAGAAGAAGGGAAAGCCCAGCAACCGAUUUACUUCGUAAGCAGGGCCCUACAAGGAGUAGAGCUGAGGUACAGCAAAUUGGAAAAACUGGCGCUCACACUCCUAACCUCCUCUCGAAGGUUUAGGCAAUACUUCCAGGGUCACCGCGUGGUCGUCAAAACGGAUCAAGUGAUCCGUCAAGUACUCUAAAAACCCGAUUUGGCUGGAAGGAUGAUGACCUGGGCCAUUGAGCUGUCCUAAUACGACUUGCACUAUGAGCCCCGUCACGCAAUCAAGGCACAGGCAAUGGCAGAUUUCUUAGUAGAGGUAACGGGCGAUCCUCCCGAAGAAACGGGCACACGGUGGAGGCUCCACGUAGACGGGGCCUCCAACCAAACGUCUGGGGGAGCCGGGGUCAUCUUAGAAAGCCCGGCAGGAGUCAUCUAUGAACAAUCGACCAAGUUCGAGUUCCCUGUAUCGAACAAUCAAGCGGAAUAUGAAGCCCUCUUAAGCGGGCUAAUACUAGCUCGGGAAGUCGGGGCGACGAAGGUCGAAGUAUGCAGCGACUCACAGGUCGUCACCUCGCAGGUAAGCAGAAGCUACCAAGCCCGGGACCCCCUCCUGCAAAAAUACUUGGAAAAAGUUAAAGAAAUGACAAGUCAGUUCCAAGAGGUCACGAUCCAACACGUCCCAAGAGAAAGGAACACACGGGAGGACCUCCUAUCCAAACUAGCGAGCACGAAGCCAGGAGCGGGCAACCGGUCUCUCAUCCAAGGCAUGAUGAAGGAGCCAACGGUCGCCCUCCAUUUGACGAAGUCAAGCCCCUCAUGGUUGGACCCCAUCACAAACUUCCUGGAACUCGGCAAGCUGCCUGACGAUGAGAAAGCGGCCAAAAUAUUGAGAAGGGAGGCGGCCAGAUAUGCGAUCAUACAAGGGCAACUGUUCAGGAAGGGGCUCAGCCAGCCCCUAUUGAAGUGCUUUCACCCCGACCAGACGGACUAUGUACUUAGAGAAGUCCACGAGGGUUGUUGCGGCCACCACAUCGGGGGAAAAGCCCUAGCAAGGAAGCUCAUCCGAGCUGGAUACUACUGGCCAUCAAUGAUGAAAGACUCGAGGGAAUUUUUCAGAAAGUGCGUAAAGUGUCAACAAAACGCCAACUUCCACAAGGCGCCGGCUUCCGAGCUGAGCCUGCUGACGACCACACGACCUUUCGCCCAAUGGGGAGUUGACCUUCUGGGACCUUUCCCGGUUGGCCCAGGGCAAGUCAAAUACCUCAUAGUCGCCAUCGACUACUACACCAAAUGGAUAGAGGCUGAGCCACUGGCCAGCAUAUCUUCCUCCAACUGCCGGAAGUUCAUGUGGAGGCAGGUGAUAACCCGUUUCGGUAUCCCGGAGGUCGUCAUUUCGGAUAAUGGGACGCAAUUCACUGACAAGAAGUUCACGGAGUUCCUCACCGGCCUAGGAGUGAAACAGAAGUUUUCCUCAGUGGAACACCCCCAGACAAAUGGACAAGUGGAGUCCGCAAACAAAGUCAUCUUACUUGGCCUCAAGAAACGCCUAGACAACAAGAAAGGCGCAUGGGCCGACGAGCUCGCUUCGGUCCUGUGGUCCUACCGAACAACCGAGCAAAGCGCUACGGGGAAAACCCCUUUUCGCCUAACGUACGGGGCCGACGCGGUCAUACCCGUUGAAAUCGGCGAACCGAGCCCGCGGCUACUACUCGCAGGUGUGGACGAAGCGGUGGAAAAGGACCUGGUGGAGGAGACAAGGGAGAUGGCCCACUUGUUAGAAACGGCGUUGAAACAAAGAAUAGCCCUGCGCUACAACGCUAAAGUCCUCAGGAGGGAUUUUGAGGAAAGAGACCUCGUCCUGCAACGCAACGAUGUCGGUCUACCGAUCCCUGGAGAAGGGAAGCUGGCGGCAAAUUGGGAAGGUCCCUACAGAAUUAAAGAAGUGCUUGGCAAGGGUGCCUACAAGCUCGAGAGACUUGACGGCAAAGAAAUCCCUAGAACAUGGAAUGCAGGUAAUUUGAGGAGGUUCUACUCCUAACUCGGGCACACCGACCGGGAGGCCUAACGGGCUCAUAUGUGCUUGUUUUGUUCACAUGUUAAUUUUCAGCCCUUGUUACCUUUUAGCUAUUUACUCCUAUCGAAUACUUGCCAUGUUAACAAACUCGCCUAGCUGACGAUUAAUUCUCACUUGUCAAAAUAUUUUCUUACUUAUCUGUUGCUUCCCAAUACGUGUCUCACACGAUUGCGUUCUAAAACGGCAGCCCGGGACUGAUCACCCCGGGAACCAUUUGGACCACAGCCAUAACUAACGGCGGCGACAACACGACCAAAGCGGUCCAAAACCAUUACCAACGUAAAACGGCAAAACGGGCACAAGCAAUAAGCCCGCCCCAAAAAGGCGGUAAUGGAAACAGUACAACAAGCAAAGACAAAAGAUAAUAAUGACGAACUGGCCAAACGACUAAGAUAAGCACAAGUUAUAAAGUUUCAAAUUACAAAACGUUCAGCAAAACGAUCAGCAAAUCCACACUAAAAUAUCCAAGUUACAACAGAUCACUUCCUAGGCAUGUCAACAACCUUGCCAUCUUGAAUCAUCUUGAAGACCCCAAUGGCCGACGUGUCAAAGUCGGGAGCCACGAUCUUCACCUGAGCCUUCAGGGCGUCCUCAGUCAUAGAGAUCGCGUUCUUCCCUUGCUCUUUGGUCGCUUUCAGCUUCUUCCGGAGCUCCUCGACCUCGACUUUAGCAGCUUUAGCCGACCACACGGCUUGGUCACGCUCUUUCUCCAAGACCGCCACCCGACCCUGAGCGGCGUUCAGCUGGCUCUCCAAGGUCAUCUCCCGCUCAACUAAACGGGCCACCGUCUCGUCGAAAGCCUUCAAUUUCUCAUCGGCAGAUGUCGUCCUUUCCUCGGAUGCCUUGAGCUUCUCCCCCAUCUCGGACAACUGGCUCUGGAGCAGCUCAACCUGCACCUUGAAGUCAUUGUUUGCCUUGGCAGAGGACUCGAGCUUCCUCCGGAGGGCCUGCAUUUCCGACAACUCGAACUCAGCCUUUCGAGCUAUCACGGCCCCCCGGAGCAAAGUCCAGUACAUCCAUCUCGCCUGUCCAGCCAGGUCGGUCCCAUGAAAAUGCUCCUCCAUCCCAGGGAUCAGCUGCGAGUCGAUAAAGGUUGUAGCAUCGAAAUUUCUCUCCAUGAUGGUGAGAGUCCCCUCCGAACUCGCAGACGCCCUCCGCCUCUUAGGGGUGUGGAUGAGUUCCACAUCAUCAUCUUCCUGAUGGGCAGAGGGCGAGUGCCCGCCAACGACGACCUCGGGAAGGGGAGAAGCCUGCGCCCCUUCUGGGUUCUUGCCCGACAUGCCGGUAUCCUGGGGAGAGGGCACAGACUGACCCUCCUUCUCCCCGGAAGGCCCCUCCGACUUCCCGGCGUCUUUCUCUUCGGCCUUCUCCUCGUCACUUUCCUCGAAGAAGGUCUUCAUCAAAUUUUCAAGCCCUGUCACUGAGGCAGACAUCUCCACUGCAGCAAACAGAUAAACGCGUCAGUCGUCAGAUCAAGAAAAACAAGCAAUAAUAAACAAUACGAACACGAAACAAAACGACUCACGAAUAUAGCUCCUGGCGGCCUCCCGUUCACCCAUGAGAAGAUGGGGGUUCACGGGAUUCUUCCCAAAGAGGGCAAACAACACAUCAGCUAUUUUCUUAUCUACAGGGGACAUCCUUUUGUACGUCACCUUAAUAAACGGAUUAGACCCCGCCCCAAAACUCCAAUAUGUUGGGAUGAGGCGCUCCCCCUCUAACGAUAACCAAAAGGGAUGGCGACCUUUAGCAGGGCGAACUUUGAAGAAUUUGUCCUUGAACCUAUGGUAAGAGUCCUCGAAUAGACCAAAUAUCCUCCGACCUUGGGCAGACCGGAAAGAAAGGAACCCUUUUCUCGCCUUCCCUUGUUUGGAGGGGUUGGUGAGGUUGAAGAAAAAGAGGAAGACAUCCACUGACGCCGGCAGCUCGAGAUAUUCAUAGAACCAAAUCGAAACAGCGGAUAGAAGCCCAACUGUUCGGAUGGAGCUGCGACGGCGACACGGAUAUCCGGCCAAGGAGAGACAUCUGAAAAUCGGAAAAAAGUAGGCGAACGUCGACCUGGGUAAACAUGGCCUUGUAAAACCAGACCCAGUCGGCAACCCGGGGAGAACGGAGGUUGAUCUCGUACAACCGCUCGUCGGGGGCUGGAACGAAGGUCUCGUAGUUGAUCUCCUCGUCCGUCCCCCCACAUAAGUACCCGGCUUGCCGAAAUUCCGUCAGCUCUCCUAGAUCCAUCUGGUUAGGCGAGUCCUUUAUGUCCGAGGUCACCCAUGCGUAAGGGUCGUAAUUUGCGGUGGAAGUAGAAGUCCGAGCGACAACACGAGGCAUACCUACAGCGGGGUACCACUCCGUUAGACUAUGAGAUCGGGAGCCCGGAAAACACCCAGAAACUAUGCUUAUCCUACUGAACAGUUAAAAUUAAACAUGGAAAAGGCUACACUCGUCAAGCAAGCUACCUAAAAACCUACCCCCGGAAUGGUACCCCUCCCUUAACCCAUUUACCCAAGCACUGGAGAGUCAUCUAGUAACAAAAACCAAACGAGACGACAGGAAACACAAAAGCAAACGCAAGUAAUAGACAUUCAACAACAAGGCAAAAAGAGAGAAGCCCAAGGAUUACCUGAAUUUGUUUCGAGGAUCUAAAAAAGACGAAGGGAAGAUGCGUGAGGAUAUCACACCAGUGCUCUGAGAUCUUCGAAAGAGGGAGGAAGAGUUGGCAAGAAGAUAGAAGAAGCAGGAGUGUAAAAAAGAGGAAUAAAGCGAAAACGAACCAUUUAAAACUAUCCCCAGGGAGCGCGAAAGACUGGGGACAAAAUAGUCUUUGCAUACGGGGAUUCCCAACCCAUUAUGAGCAUUUAAUGCUCAGCACGGAGAACGAAGCACUGAACGUUUACCUCAGUAACCAAAGGACAUGCGCGCAGGGGACACGUCCCCCUACGAGCGGCCGAUCUGGCGACGACCUAUGAAGAAAGAAAGAACGCGCCACAAAUAGUCCACACGGCUACCAUUGGCGCGUGGGGGCACUGUUACGGCCCGGCCCAAACCUUCUGCUGGCUUGGGCAGACCCGAGCUCUACCCGACCCGGGCGGUCAGGGAUAGAGCGCCCUGUUGUCGACCCGGACACGCGUCCGUAACAGCUCUCCCACAGUUGUGAAGGGAGCGCCUCGAGAGUAGUGGGCCUUUCUUUACAGGCCCACCUCUGACAAUAUAUAAAGGGAAGAUUGGCUCUUCCCCCAAGGUACGUCAUAUAUCACAUUACCCUUUCCGCCUACACAUUUACUGACAAAAGCGUCGGAGUGUCUUUGCAGGUGGCACCCCCCUUUCUUACACGAAGUACUCGGGACCUCGCCCCUCUCUGUCCGGCAGUCCACGACCCGACGAGCCCUUACCAUCUCCCAGGAUCUUCACCCGAAUCGACCGGUAACCGAUUUACCGAACAAUCUCAAUUUAUAAUAACACAUAUUAAGUAUAGAGGAGUGCUACGGGGCCAGCACUUUUGUUAAAUUCUGGCCAGCACUUAACCAUCAAAGGGAAAUUGAAUGAUCCUACACCAUUAGAUGUAAUCUCACACCAUUAAAAAUAUCAUUGAUGGCUAAUUGAUGGCUAAAAAUCACAAAAUCUGCUGGCCCUCUAAACUUUCUCUUAAGUAUAUACUUAGUCAAAUCAUGAUAACAGGAAGAUAAUAGAUCAACCAACCAAAGAUAAAGAACAAGCACAAAAAAACAUAAUUGAGCCCAAAAAAUUAUAAAGCUAAUACCAUUUCUUGUCCUGCCAGACAUAUGCAUAUAACUGGUAAGCUUUAAAAAUUUUGAGACAUGGAAAUAUGGAAUUCAGAAUUCUAAAAUACGAUAGAUGAUGACUACAAAUUAAUUUAAUAUAAAAGAUGGAUGCUUAUAUCCUAUAAAUCUUCCUAAACAAGUGUAAUUAUCCGUGUCAUACACGUGAUAAGAUUAAAAUUAUAAUUUUAAAUUAUUUUUUAAAAUUAAUUUAAAUGAUAAUAAUUUGAUUAAUAAAAAAUUAAUAUGUUAUGCAUUGUUUGUUUUUUUUUUAAAUUUAGUAUUAAUUGAAUUAACUCUAAAAUAGUUAUUAAUCAAUUUUAAUAAUCUACUUUCUUCAAUAAAUUAGACAUAUAUACUGAAUGUGAUCAUAAAUAAUAUAGUAAUAGUUAAAUCUACCCACAAACAUAUUGGCUAUUAUCACACUCUAAAACAAAUUAAAUAUAAAGGCUAUUAGCACACACUUAUAAAUCUAUAAAAUCGUACUAUCUUUAAUUCGUGCAAGGGUUUAUUUAUCAAAUAAACUUAAAAUAUAAACAAAAAAUAUUUAUAAAAUGGACCUAGCAUCACUUGAAAGAAUCAUGGAAAAUAAUCAACUUACCUUAUCAUCCAUAAGAACCAUUUCUAUGUAAGUCGUGUUGUUCUUGUCAAAUUUGGAUGAGACUUUUCAUAACCUUAUAAUUCUUACCUUUAUUUUUCAAACUUUUUCAUUACAUAAUCUAUCAUAGGUAAUAUUGUUGAUAGAAUUGUAGUUAGUAUCCUUUAGGUAUGAAAAAUAAUAAACAGAAGAAGUUCUAUGUCUGAGGUACGAAUUUUCUAGAUGAUAAAUAAUUGUAAUAAUUCACUAUUAAUCCUUAUAUAUAUAUAAACACACACACUAAUUAUACACGGUAAUAGUUAACAAAUAUUUUCAAUGGAGAUACUUACUCAAUAUAUAUGUUAUCGACAUUAAUUAUAUGCCAAUAUUUUUAGAAAAGAGAUAAAAGAGGAGAUAUAUAAAUAUAUAAUAUUAUUGCUAUAUAGGAAGUAUACAUAAAUUGCUAAAUUUUUUAUUAUAUUAUACAACUUAAAAUUAUAGUAUCAUGUUAUUAUUAAUUCUAGAUACUUGCUAUAAUUAUAUCAAAUUUAAUUAUAACUCUAAAUAAAUAAAAUAGAUAACAUUCAAUAUUAUUUUUUUUCUUUUUUACAUUCAAUAUUUACUGUAAAUAUAAGAAGUAAAAUAACUAAUGAAAAAAUAUGAGCAGAAAAUAAAAUGUAUUAAUUAAAAUUCAAUUUGUUAUCUAAUUAAUCUUGUGUCCAUACGAUAUAACUUUACAAAAAUGUUAUGAAUUACCUUUUUUAUUCUACAAAAAAAAAACACUAUAUGUAGCUUUUAGUAGUACAAAAAUAAUUAUAAGAAUUAAUUAUUGAUAUUGAUAUUAAUCACAAUUGAUUAUUGAUAUUCUAAUUUUCUUAAAAUAUAUUUUACCUUUUUAAAAUAUAAUAUAUGUGAUUAAAAUGUGAAUACAUACUAAUAAAAUUAUUACAUACGAAUGAGAAUUAGAACUAUAUCAAUUAUAUCAAUUAUAUAAAUUCAAAAUUAUUAUUAUUAUUAUUAUUAUUAUUAUUAUUGAGUAAUAAUGAUAAUUCAUGUGAUAAUGAAUAUUACCUAUAAAACAUCUAAAAUUAAAUAAUAUUCAAGUAUAAUUAUGUGACAAUUAUAAUUCAAAAAUUACUGUAUAUGAAGUCACGUGAAUUAUUAUUAUAAUUGAUAUAAUAAUUGCUAUAAUUGCUACAUAUUCUCAAUCUUAUCGGUUGUAUCAAUUUAACUAUAUCAAUUAUAUUUAAAUUAGUAGUCAAUUGUUUUUAUGAAAAUUCUUGCUAUAAUUAGGUUAUACUUAUGAGAUUAUCUUGUAUUAAUCGUUAUAAUUAAUUUAAUAAAAAUAUUUAUUAAGUAUAUAUGUUAUCUAUAUUAAUUAUAUGCCAAUAUUUAUAAAAAUUUUCUAAUUAUAAUUUAAUCAAAUACUAAUAUUAAAACCAAAUUACUUAAACAAUAUUGAAUCUAUUCAAGUUCUUAGUUACAUAUAAUAUAGAGUCAUUCUCGUAACGAUAACCAACUGAAAUAACAUCGUAAAUAUCAACAUUUAGAAUUCGUGCGAAUUCAAAUCAUCCUCUUGUUAAAUAAGUUUCAUCAUCCGCUAUCUAUGCAAUGCGGCAAGGUAUAGAAUUGCCACACCGAGAAACCAAACUAACCCUUAUUCCUCUCAAUGGCGUUGCAUGCAUGCAAAAGAAAGCCGGUAAUUUCUGAAAAAAAUCACAAUAUGUUAUAAAAUUAUUCUAAUAAUGAACAACUUAAAAUAAAAAAAUUUAAAUAUAUUACCAAUCGUUGAAAUUGCAUAUCCGAGUUUGUCACGAAUUUAGCAAAACUGAACUUAAACUGAGAGAAUUCAAUCUCAUUAUGUGCUCCACUUUGAAGAUUUUCGGGCAGACGUAAAAAGCACGGAGAGGAUGGAACUUGAACUUGCCCUAUAAAAUUCCGUGGAUGCAAUUCCUCAAUAAAAAAUCAAGCUCCUCCCAAGAAAGUUAACUUUAACCACAUUCCAUUAGGUUGGUCAUAAUAGGUGAGUAGAUCCAACCAUCAUUCGGUAAAGUAGAGAUUAUUGCCCCUUCUUUGAACGCUUACAUCCAUGUAGUUGGAACCUGUCAGUGAAGACAACUCGAUGAGGUAUUUCAUGGAUAUGAUGCAUUGUAAAUGAUUGUGGUAAAAGACAAUCGAACUGGAACAUUAGACUAUAAGAAUAACUUAGAGUAACAACAAUUAAUAAAUUAUUAAAAGAAUAAUAUAAUAGAAUGAGUAUAUAAAAAAUAUUAUAAAAAAUUAUAAAUUGUACCUUAAAAGGAUCAACUUCAAUAAAAAACGAAGAAUACAUUCUUAUUCUAUGAAGUAGUAAAAAAAAUACUAAAUAUAAAAUUAUGAGCUGACUCUCAAAUUUAGAUUCAUGUACCACAGAAAAACACUAUUUAUAAACCUUGAUAAUAAGUAAUUUACAUAUUUAUUUUUGUACAGAAAAACAAUUUUUUAUUAUGUACAAUAAUUACGCAUUAUAAUUGAUAAGUAGUUUAAUUGAUCCGUAACUCCAAUAAAAAAUCUAAUCCAGUAAAAGUGUUUCUAUCUUCCUCCUCUACACGUUGGCAUCACUUUUGUUCGAUGGAGGCUGAUGGUGACGUAGCUCCUCUUCCCCUUGAGUUCGGACAACUGGAUUUCUAGGAGGCACAGAUGAUUUCUGACGCUUUCCUCUUCAGCAACUCGGUCAGAAAGUUUUUUCAGAAUUUUCGUUGAUUUUAAUUUCAUACGGAGGUAGGGGAUUUGUUUUUAAAGUUAAGUUUUUAAUUUAGAAUGCCUACAAAGUUAAUUGGAUAAUUGUAAAUAUAUAUAUAUAUAAUAGUAAUGAUAUUGAGUAUGGAUUAUUGCUGUGAAUGUGACUGGUUUGGUUGUUAUGAGAGUUUAAUUGGUCGAAUUAAGUUUGGAUUGAGGUUGUGAAAAUGUGAUUGUUGAGGAAUAGGGAACCGUAAGGGUGGUUUAGUCCAAAUUUUAGAGAAAAUGUCGCCGAAAUUUUAUAAAAUCUGAGGUUUUAUUUGAAAAGUUAUUUUAAAAGAUUUGGUUUUGGAAAAUUAAAUUAUUUAAAAUAUAUUUAGUUAAGAAAAGAUUUAUUCUAUUUUAAAGUUUGAUUUAUUAAGAAAAAUAUAAUGUCUUAAACCCAAUCUUUUAAGGAGAGAUUUUGUUUUAAGUAAAGAUUUGAGCUCGGUUUAUUAAGAAAAGAAAUCUCUGCCACAGGAGAGCAGAGAACAAUGAUUUAAAGAAUAUAUUAAUUAAUGAAGUGUCUGCCACAGGAGAGCAGAUGUGACAUUGUUUGGGCCUUAGUGCCAAAUGUAAAGUGGGGACGCCCACACAUUGAGAACUGUUUUCCAGAUGUACGCUUAUUGAUUUGGAAAGUCACACUGAUGCGGCCUAGCCGUACGACUUAAAGUCACACUGAUGCGGCCUGGCCGUACGACUUAUAAGCACACUGAUGCAUCUGAAAAACCAUAUCUGGGACUUGUGCCCGGGUAAUGUCGGGAGCGGGUAGGCAACCGACACAUGAGCUCAUGGCCUGCGUUAGGAUAGACAUGCAUCAUAUUGAUUGCGCAUUUGCAUUUGAUUGCGCUUGCCUGUUUUAUUACUUUGUGAUUGUAUUGUUUGUCUUGUUGUGACUUGCUUGUACAUUGAAUUGAAUCUCUUGCUUGCACUAUUUGUUUGUGAGUGUAUUAAAGUGAUUACGAGUUGACAUUUGACAGAGGAUUAACUAUGUGGCUGAGAGACAGAAAAUGUGACUAGUUUUAUAUUUAAGAUUUGUUUUGAGUUUAGAAAUUUAAAGAAAAGUAAUUAUUUAUCUAAAGUAGAUAUAAAAGUAUUUCCAAAGGGUUAACAAAAUAGUUUUAUUGAGUAAAGUUAAUUAUUUGCAUUAAAUUCAUUACUUUUACGGCAUUUCCAUUCCCCACUGAGAACGUGUGGUUUGUUCUCACCCCAAAAUCUUCCACCCUUUCAGUGACACAAGUUCGAAGAUUCAGUUAGAAGAUGCAGACGACUAGUAGUUUUACUUGUGAUCCCUGUUAUUUUUAUAGAGUUCCCUCGCCCUUGUUGCUUUAAGUUUUAUUUUAUCCAGAGGGAUAGGUAUUAUAUUUGAGUUUUAUAUUAAAUUCAUUUGUAUAGCAUUUAUUAUUAUUAAUAAUUGUGUGAUUUUAAUUACUACAAAUAAUUUUCUGGUAUUUUCUUAUAAACUAAAACGCGAUAUCGACCUAAAGGCUUAAUAUUAAAUAGUAAAUAAGGAGAACAGGUUAGUAACUCCUUACUUUUGGUACGAUUAUGACGUGCUAAAGGUUAGGGUGUUACAAAGAACAUGGUUUACUCCAAUAAUCAAUAUCACCAAGUUGUUUUUCUAUGGCCACAGAGAAAAGCUUUAAAUUAAAACAAAUAAAAGAAUUUAUCCAUCUCAUGACAAAGAUAAUGAGAGGAGCAAAACAGUACAUUUAUUGUUUGUAUCAAAAAAAUAAAAAUAAUCAAAGAGUAAUAUUUUAGCAAUCUUAUUACAAUACCAACAAAAGAAAAAAUAGUCAAUCACUUAUAUAAGAAUCAAGUGAGAGAAUAUACCACACCAACUUAAACUGCUUAACGCACUAAAUAGAUAAAUUUCUCAUCUCAUAAACUCUCGCACAUUAUUUCAUUUAAUAUAAGACUAAGUAUCAUUCACACUUGUUACUUAUCAAUACUUACCCAACAGAAAAGCAACUUAUUUUUAUUGUCUCUUAUCAAAUGAUCAACAAUUCUUUUAACAUGUUAUUACAAACAGAAAACCAAAACUGAUUAUUGAAAUAUAUUUUGAAACAAAAUGGAAGAAUACUACAAACUAAAUCAAGAAAGUUAUAAUUAUUUGUUGAAAAGAUAGUUGAAGAGUACCUUUUUUCGAUAAAGGUUUGAUGCAAAUGUUUCGUGAGUCAAUUUAGAAAACAUAUUGCAAGCAAACAAUUAUUGAAGGAUAUAAUGCAUGACACAGAUAUGUAAAUCUAGCACCUUGUAAGCUCUAAAUAAGAUGACUAUUUCUUGCCAUUGCAACUAUGAAACUCCAGAACAAUAAACAAUGUAAAUAAUAAAUAAUUAACCCAGAAAGAAAGUGAAUGAAGAAACUUCUUCAUAUCAAGCUUCAUCAGUCACCAAACCCAACAGCAGCAUAGGUUACAAUUUAACCAAGCCAGUUAAUACCCCUUUUUUCAAUUUCAAAACAGCGACCUCAUGGUGCAACCUUUGGGACAACACCCUGACCUUCUUGCACGACACAAAGAAAAUCAUUAGACAUCACAUGUAAUCACUGAUAACAACAACAUAAUACUGUGAUAACAACAUAUAAAACUAAAGUAGCAGAAUUUCAAAUAGCAAAAACACCUAAUGAAAACAACCCAAAGCAUAUGAAAGCAAGGCAGCAAAACAAAUCCCCUUGCAUAAUUUAAUGUCAUAAUUCAAUUUGGUUGACUGAAAUAAUAAAGCAAUAUAAGAAAAUUAAAAUGUUAAUCAGUUGAGCAAUAUUUAGAUAUCGAUAGCUAAAAUUGAAGUAUAAGAGAAACUAACAAACGAUUCUACAUUGAUGUAUAAAUUGAGCAAGAUAUUCACCUUUGCCAGUUCAAAAUCAGCAAGGUUGACAAAUCCGUGUGCAUCCACCAAUAUAUUUGAACAUUUACUAUCCCUUUAGAUUAGGAAAAUUCAAAGUAUGAAUGUAAAACUCAAAGUGAGAUCAACCUUGCUUCUAUAUUAAAAGGAAAAAUAGACAAUUUUUAGUGUAACCCCUGCAAUAAUGAAGAAACUUAAAAUAAUAAAAAUAAGUAACUUACUUCUACAUACAAAGAAAAAUGAUGCGGAGAAGAAGUGACCAGCGCCUAAUGAUUAGACAUAUUGACAAUAAAGAAGAUGAGUUUCCUGCUUCUACAUACAAAAAAAAUUAUGGCCAGUUUCUAUUGUAGCCCUGCAAAAUUACCAAGAAGUGACCAGCACCAGUGAUAGAAAAUGUAAAUGAGAAAGUAGUACGAAGCAAAAUUUAUAUAAUAUUUUACUUAAGAAAAAUAUUAUCUACAAAAUUAUAAGAAAAAGUCAAGUUUCUUAUGUAUAUUUGAUAGGGGCUGAGACAUGUCUGUCUAUAUACUUCAAUCACAAUUUCAAAAGGAGAAGGCAUACCUUAAACUUCGCAGCUCUAAAGGAACCUUCACAUGAAUAGAAAAAAAAACCCAAAAAAAUUGGAUCCUUUCUGAAACACAAAAUAGAGAAAACCCAUCAUAGAAAAAAGGAAAAAAUCAGAAUCACUUGUAACAAUCCAGGCGCAAAUGAAGACAUAAAGUUUUCACAUUUCAAUCGAAAAAGAUAAAAAAACAAAACGAUAAACUUUUGGUUUACGAAGAAUCAAAGAGCAAUUAAAGUUACCGUUUUGAACGGAAUGGAGGAAUGAGAAAAGCUGGGAGAAUGCUUGUGUUGUUUUUGUUGUAUCCGAAAAAGAAGGAAUAUUUGAAGAAGGAGGUAUUGUUCUGUGUUACAAAGAAAUCAGAAUAGAUAGAAAGAGACAUGGCAUGGACCUCAGAGAUGGCAGAAGAGAGGGAAAAAUGCAGAAAAGCAGCAAAAAACAAAGAGAUUUAUGUUCGUGGAACAGAGAGAGGUGAAGGCCAAGACAAAGGGGAGCAUGCCAAAGUCAACAAAGAGAGACACCGUGCAAAGGCGGGAGAAGACUUUGAGGAGUAAUGUUUGAAUGGUCAAUAGGAAUUGGAUUGGAUGAAUUAAUGAAAAUUGAGACCGGUAAAACGUGGUCGUUGAAAAGGAAAAUGCAUUUAUUCAGGAUGAGCCGAGGUAAUGACACGUGGGUUGCUGAAACCGAAAUUUAGGAUAUUAACUUAGGAUGUUUUUGUUUGAAAAGCUUAUUAGCGUAAGGUUAAA